rnacentral:rRNA from 1 species
UACGAAGGGGGCUAGCGUUGCUCGGAAUCACUGGGCGUAAAGGGUGCGUAGGCGGGUCUUUAAGUCAGGGGUGAAAUCCUGGAGCUCAACUCCAGAACUGCCUUUGAUACUGAAGAUCUUGAGUCCGGGAGAGGUGAGUGGAACUGCGAGUGUAGAGGUGAAAUUCGUAAUAUUAGUCAAGAACACCAGUGGCGAAGGCGGCUCACUGGCCCGGUUCUGACGCUGAGGCGCGAAAGCGUGGGGAGCAAACAGG